rnacentral:rRNA from 1 species
AUUGAACGCUGGCGGCAGGCUUAACACAUGCAAGUCGAGCGGAGAUGAGGUGCUUGCACCUUAUCUUAGCGGCGGGCGGGUGAGUAAUGCUUAGGAAUCUGCCUAUUAGUGGGGGACAACAUUCCGAAAGGAAUGCUAAUACCGCAUACGCCCUACGGGGGAAAGCAGGGGAUCUUCGGACCUUGCGCUAAUAGAUGAGCCUAAGUCGGAUUAGCUAGUUGGUGGGGUAAAGGCCUACCAAGGCGACGAUCUGUAGCGGGUCUGAGAGGAUGAUCCGCCACACUGGUACUGAGACGCGGCCCAGACUCCUACGGGAGGCAGCAGUGGGGAAUAUUGGACAAUGGGCGGAAGCCUGAUCCAGCCACCCCGCGUGUGUGAAGAAGGCCUUUUGGUUGUAAAGCACUUUAAGCGAGGAGGAGGCUACUAGUACUAAUACUACUGGAUAGUGGACGUUCCUCGCAGAAUAAGCACCGGCUAACUCUGUGCCAGCAGCCGCCGUAACAC